GAGACAUCAGGAUUGGCUGGUUGCUGUGGGCUGGCAUUAUUCCGACACGUUUCCUCGUGGUGGGUGGGGACAACGCUCUCUACUGCGACGUGUGGCACAUCUCUCUGCUAGAGACAACAGAGAGCAGAGGUUUGUGAAAGACUAGAGGCAUCUCCUGUGAGAAGUAACUACUUUGGGGAUGGAGAUACAGCUCUAUGGUACAGUGUCAUCCAAGCAUGCAUUAAACCCUAGAAAAUCCAAACAAUACUCCCAUUGAAAAUGUCUGUAUUUCCUAUGCAAAUUAUAUAUUAGAAUAAUUUGUUAGCAGAAAAAAGUUCUUGGGAAAAGAAUCACAAAAUCUUUACAAUUAGUGAAACCGAAAUUUAACAAUAAUUACCAAUAAUGAUGGGACACCAUUAAAUUAAAAAAAAAAACCAAUAAAGUUUUGGCCUCACCUUUCUUAGACAAAUCUGUGUAUAUGUGGGAGUCCGAUGACAGCAAGAACGAGAGGAAGGGUAGGUGGAAGUAGUGGGAUGAUGAGGAAGAGAGAGAAGAUGUGUGUGGUGGGUAGAAUGUGUCUUGAAACAGAGCUGCACUGUAAAGCAGGUUAAGCAACUUAAGUAUGCAUGUGUGCCAGUGCCCACCACAUGUCUGUGGAAGAAGUGAGAGGACACACUUGCCUUGUCCCAUCAUUUCCACCAUGUGAAUCUUAGAAACCAAACUAAAGUCAUCAGGCUUCAAUGGUAGACGUUUACCUGCUUAGUCACCCAAUUAUCCCAAAUGCAAGUUUAAAAGCAAAUUUGAUCCACUGUCUGAGAUUUUGUUUUAACACUGUGAAAAAGAGUCAGAUUAAAAAACAAACUGUUAAGCUCAGCGAAAAUAAGUUUACUGGUGAUGCAUAAUUCUUGUUUAUGUGAGGUUUCCAUAAUCGUUUGGAAGGUAAAGAUACUGAGUACUACUAGCAAAUGCAGCAAAUAGGUUAUUUUUAAAUAGGCAAGUAUAAGAACAUUUUAGUAAUGUAAUGUAUUAAAUAAUCCUUAAAACAUUUUUAUUAUAUGUCUCAAAUCUAUAUUUAUUAAAAUAUCAGAAAAAUACUGUUUAUUAAUUCUAUUAAAUGCUGUUAUCCUUUGCUUUCUUAAAGUAUACUUUCGCCAAGCAUGGUGGCACAUUUUUGUAAUCCAAGCAAUAAAGCAGCAGAACCGAAGUUCAGUAAGUGGACUGGCAUGGGUUCAACGCCACCCUGUGAUGCAGCAGGAAUGGGUAGAGGGGGAAAGGGAAAAGGGAAAAAAAGGGAAAGAGGGAAAUAUAUACAGGAAAGAGAAGGAAAGAGAAUAGACAACAAGAAGGGAAGAGAAGUGACAUUCCUGUGAAGAGCCCACUGCCUCACUUGGGCACAUCUCAUUUUCUAGACCUCUCCUUAGGUUUUCUUUGUUCUGAGUGCUUUUCUUUCUCCUAACCCUUGUGUUUAAGCCUACAGUAAAACAUUUUUAUUACCUCCUUUCCCAAUUAAAACAAGAGGGAGAGAAGGAAGGGAAGGCAUGAAGAAGUGAACUGCUCCUCACUUUAGAGCCUUCACUCUACCAGCUGACAACAGUUAAGUUACUUAUUUCUUCAAUUUCACUACUCUAAAAUGGGGGAAAGCAUAGCAUGUACUUCACGCUGGCCUCAAAUACACUGCCACACCUGCCUGUCUGUCAGCUUUUGUUCUUGGAGAGAGGUUUUCAUGUAGCCUAGGCUAGUCUCAAUCAUUAAUGUGCAGUAUCAUACACAGCAGGGUCUCAAUUUGAUCAUUUAUAAGAUGAUUGCUAAUAAUACCUACACCAAGUCAGGUAAAGGUGAAAAGGAGAACAAUAAGGACUAAUAUUUAUAAGUAUUACCUCACGUAAUACUCAACAUUCCUGUUAGAAGCUAUUCAUAUCCUUAUCUUAGAAGUGAAAGAAAUGCACAGAGAUAAUGUCAAGACACUGAGAAAUGGCAAACGAGAUUCAAGUCUUGAUUAGUCUGCAUCUAUAGCCCAUACGGUUUAAUUUUAUAUUCUACCUUCAUCAAUACAACUUAUUUUCCUUUCUUCUCAUUGUUACUCCACAUUCAACAAAUAAUACUAGUCACCCAACCUUUCCACAACCAAAUAUAAAAGGAAAAAAAGGGAAAUUACCCGAAUUACCCACUGCACCAUUGUUCACCAGGGAGUUGGGAGCCACGGUACGAGGCCAGUGUCCAUCAUGAGAAGAGCUAGGGAUUGCCAUCGGCCUGGCAGCAGGCUGUGCAAAGAUGAUGCUGGGAUCAUUCAAGCCAAUAUUGCUGGGGGUACUGCCAGGUGCAGAGUGCAGCAUUGGGCCGUGGAUGGGCCACGACGGGGCAGGGAUCUGGAGGGGGUGCAUUGGCAAUAAUCCCAUACCGUGCAUGGGUGAGUAAUGAGCUGGAGGGGAUGGAGGAAAGUUAUACAAGGGCAUCUGAACCUGGUGAGGGGGCUGGCCUCCCUGCUGGGGUGGGCCAAGCUUAGGCUGGGAUCCUGGCUGGGAUGGAGGUGGGGGAAGAGCAGACGGUUGGGGAGAAUUCUGUGGAAAAGGCUGAGGCUGAGGAGAAUAAGAUGGUGAAUCAGACUGCAGGAAAAAAAAGAUAAUUUUAAAAAUUAAGAUUAUUAAAAUAUAAUAGUUAUUUCAUUAGAACAUCAGAUACAGAACUAUAUGAUGUAUAUAACAAAUAAUAAAAUCUAUUACAUGGAGAUAAAAUUUUCCCCAAGGUGCUCAAAUUCUCUCACGUGAGUAAUGUUCAAGAAAAAAAAAGAGAGAGAACCUAUCGUCAUGAACAUAUAUUUCCUUUGUCAACUACAAAUUAACACAUAAAUUACACACAGCCACUUUCUUUCAGCCCCUGAACAAUUGUGCACACUAGGCAUUAUUACUAGGUACUGAAUAUACAUUUAUGACUUCAUUAAGUUUAAAAGUUUACUGCACACAGAUAUCAGCGAGCAGAAAAAAAUUACAAAAGUAAUUAUAAUGAAGUAUUACAAUUCUUACUAUGAUAAAGACUGUAUAAUUAGACAGGCAGGCUCAGCCGUGUAUUAUAUCUUGUCUGAGCAGGCAGGAGGGUAGCAAAACUGGGCUACUAGUUGAGACUAAUUCUCCCUACACAAAAAGUAUCACUUCUGUUACUAUGAUAAACAAAUACCUAACUUCCACUUCUGAAGAAACGUAGAGAUGAAGGAGUUUCCAAGAUUAAUUAACCUUUAAAUUGAGAAUAAAAACUAAAACCAAAUCUGGUAAAAGAAGAAACAGAGACGGUAAGAAUAUUUUGCAACAGAAACAGUAUGUCUGAAGGUCUAUAAGUGUGGUGUUUUGAAGAGGUUUGGCCCCCAUAGACACAUUUGCUUUAAUGCUUGGCCAAAGGGGUGGCACUAUGAGGUGUAGCCUUAUUGGAGGAGGUGUGGCCUUAUUAGGGGAAGUGAGUCACUGUGUAGGAGGGCUUUGACGGUAUCUAUGCUCAGGCUCUACACAGUGCAUGGAAGCCAGUCUCUUCCUGGCUGCAUUCAGAUCAGAUGUAGAACUCAGGCUUCUGUAGCACCAUGUCUGCCUGACUAGAUGCUGUGAUUCUUCCUGCCAGGCUGAUAAUAAACUGAACCUCUGAAACAGCCCUAAUUACACGUUGCCUUUUUAAGGGUUGCCAUAGUCAAGGUGUCUCUUCGCAGCUAUAAAACCCAACUAAGGCAAUGGGCAUGGAAAUUCUUAACUGUUUAAGGUAACUAAAAUCUAAAAGAACUUAAAUAGUGAAGUAUAUAGCUAAGGGAAUCUGAGGCUUAAGAACUAAACAGAAAUAAUGCAGGAGGCAGAGGCAGGUGGAUCUUGGUGAGUUCGAUGCCACUCUAGUCCACAGAUCAGGGCAACCCAGAGAAACUUUCAAAAAAGAAACAAACUAAGAGCUGGAGUGAUGGUCCAGUGCUUUGGAGCACUCGUUGCUCUUCCAGAGGAGCCACACGGAGCUCACGAUUGCUACUAACUCCAGUUCCAGGGAUUCUGACAUCCUUACACAGGCAUACACACAGGCAAGACGCCAAUGCACAUAAAAUAGAAGUAAAUCAUGAAUAUGGUUGUUAUACAAUGAUCAGUAAGUAUGCCUGUCAGCUUGAGGAUUCAAGGCCAUCCAGAUCUUUUCUCCAUUAUAAAACAAGAACCAAACAAAAACAGAAACAAGGCAAUGAGAGCUCCUGUGUUUUGUAUAUCAUGUAAUUUAUGCAAUUUAUAGAAGAGCAGUAGAAAACCAUUGAAAAUUUUAACCAAACCAGGAAUAUAAUUAACUUGCAAUUUAUAAUUUUUCUGAUUUAAUAAUAAUGAAAAAAUCUACUUAAAGAAAACACUAAAGGAACUAAUUAAAAGGGUGCAAUGAAGUAUGAAUUCUCAUUUGAUACUCUGGUCUUUCACAAGUUAUAUUCUCACUCACUAGAUAUCCACAUGUGAGGUGAGGAGAAUAUACACAAAAGUCAUUUGCAAGUCUGGCAUAGUGGAAUACACGUUCAAUCUCAGCACUCAGGAGGAAGAGGCCGAGUUCUAGGCCUGCCUGAUUUAUACUGUGAGCUCUAGGAUACCAUGGCAUGAGAUUGGAGGGAGAAAAAAAGAGAGAAGAAGUUAAGCUACAGGCAGGUAAAGGACUACAAAGCUACUACACUAAUAGAAAUGAAUCUCCAACAUUAUUAAAAAACAACAAUGCCUAUGUGUGAUGGCUAACUUUGUCAACUUGACUACAUUUGAAAGUAACUAAAACCCAAGGAGCUGGGCACACCUGUGAGGGACUUUUUUCUGUUUGGCCUCAAUCUCACUAGCAGGAUCACCUAUCCUGAACCAUUUCUUUUCUGGUGCUAGAAUCUACUUUGAAUUUCCAAUGUGAACUGAAAACUGACAGCUCUCUAGGACUUCCUUGGAGCUCUGGCACCAGAGUGAGAGAGACUGUUGAAACACCUAGUCCCAAGGAUUCGACAGCUACCAUAUUAUGGGAUUUUCUGUCAGGAUACAGCCAUUACUGGACUAAGCAGACCACAGGCAGUAUAUGCCAAUCUAUAACAAAUAUAUACACACACUCAUAUUUAUUCUAUCAAUUCUGUUCCAAAGACAGCCUUGACUAAUAUGCUGUAUGUACAAAGAAAACCAAAAACAGUGGGAACAUUCAAAUAAAUGUUCUGAAAAAAAUAAAGCUAUUAACUAAAGAGCAUAUACUGAGUAAAUGAAAUACUGAUAGCAAUAAAUGAAUAGUCUUUCAAUUUAGUAGAUAUAUAAAUCUCCCUUUCUGCGACAGAGUCUUGGUCCCUAGAUCAGGUUGGCUUAUAACUCAACAUGUUGCUGCCCUGGUCUUCCAGGCCUCUAUCUCUAAUGCCAGCUCCCAAACUUUAUUUUGGUUAGAAUCAAAAAAACAUAUCACAGUGUUAUAAUUUUAUUUUUUGAAUAUUACACAUAAAAAGCAUGUUUUCUUUCCUACAUUUAGUCAAAGUAGUCUCAAAAAUAGGAGUAUAAAAAUUAAUUUAUGCUAGGAAAUAAAAGUAUAAAUUUUUACAGCUAGGUUCAGCAACAUGAAGAAUAUGAAAUGUGAAAAGGAACAUUUCAACAUUAUGUCUAUUUUAUUAACACUAAUACUUUACUCCUAAGCAACAUUAAUACUUGGUCCUCCAUAUUAUUUUAUUAUAAAAAUGAGAAAACAGGCUCAUGUAAAUUAAGAAGCUACAACAUUAAUAGGAAAUCAAAUGUUACUUUAACUUAUGGGUCUAGCAAGAAUAAUUCUACAAAUUAUCAUGUGAUCUUCAAUAUUACACAUGAUAUGAUGGUUGGUGUUUACUGUUGUGGUAGUUUAAAUAGGAAUGCCCCUCAUAAACUCGUGCAUGAAUGCUUGGCCUAUAAGGAGUGGCACUAUUAGGUGGGAUGGCCUGGUUAGAAAAAGAAUGUCUCUGUGGAGUGGACUCUGCAGUCUCAUAUGCUCAAGCUAAGCCUAACAUGGUGGUUUCCUUACAUUGCCUGCAGAUCAAGAUGUAGAACUCUCAGCUCCUUCUUCAUCACCAUGUCUGUCUACAUGCUGCCAUGUUUCAUACCAUGGCCAUAAUGGACUAAAUCUCUGAAACUAUAAACUAGUCACAAUUAAGUAUUUUUCUUUACAGAAAAUUUCCUAUAUGAUGCCAUGAGCAUGGUGUCUCUUUUUUUUUUUUUUUUUUUUUUUUUUUUUGGUUCUUUUUUUCGGAGCUGGGGACCGAACCCAGGGCCUUGCGCUUCCUAGGCAAGCGCUCUACCACUGAGCUAAAUCCCCAACCCGAGCAUGGUGUCUCUUGAGCGUAAUAAAUCCCUAAGACAACUGUCAACUUGGCAAAGUCUAGAAUCCGGGGGACGUGGGUCUCUUUCUGGGCACACCUACUGAACAGGUACCCUUUUCUUGGCCAGGACUCUGAACUGUAUAAAAUGUGAAGAGGAAGAUGAAUGAGUGUGCAUCCAUUUCCUUUUUUAGACGUGAUAUGACAGCUGCUUCAAACUUCUGCUGACUUGACCAACUAGACUUUGAGCUGUGAACUAAAAUAAAUUCUUUCUCCCUUAUGUUGCUUUUGAUGGCAUAUUUUAUUAUAGCAACAGGAAAAGAAACUAAGACACAUGAAAAGUUGUGGUUUUUUUUUCCUGUCAAGCUCAUUCAUAGGUAGCGUACUUACACACUCUGAAGACUGUCUAGUCCUUAUAGACUGGUCACUCUGUUGCUGGGCUGAACCAGCCACCUGCUGAGCAUUAACAAGAUUACGAACCAGCUGGGCUGCUGAGAGAAGACAUCACAGAGAAAAAAAAAUCAAGAUACAGAAAAAGCAGGAGGCAGGUACAGUUUCAUAUCGAUAAUCUCAAUGUUUGAAGCACUAAGGCAGAAGAUUUCUGUAAUUCAAAACCUGACCUGCACAGUGAGCACCAUGCCAGCAUUGAGUAGAGCAUUAGACUCUGUAUCGGACCUCAGAAAGUAACAGGAAUGAAUAAACAGAAUUCCAUAAAAUUACAGAAUACUGAUUUUAAUGGCAUUUAUUUUUGUGGCACUGUGGGUUGAACACAGGAUUUUACAUGUAAGUCAAGCACUCAACACUGAGCUAUGACGCUAAACUCCAAUAUCUUAACAAUUUCUUGUCUAUAAAUUUUAUCAAGCUAUACUUUUUGAAAUAAGGCUGGCAUUGAUUACUGAAAGUACAGUAGUAUACUGUACAUACGCAAUAUAGAUUUCCCAAAACAGCAGACUAAAGCAAACUUUCAAGCAAAGAUUAUUCUAGAGAAAGAUGUGUGCCAUGCUCCCUUGUCCUGCUCCAUGCUGAGACCAAAGCCAGGGCAUUGCAUAUGGACUCUACCGCUGAGCUGUAUCCUCUUCCCCUUCUUUUAUUGUUCAUACAUUUUUAUUUUUAUUAUAAUUCAUUUUAUGUGUAUAAAUAUUUUGCCUACAUGUAUAAUGUUUAUUUACAGAUGCAUAAAGGCGAGAAGAAGGCACUAGAUCCCCUGUAGCUAAAGUUGUCAGCAUUGUCCAUUCCCUAUACCAGAUGCUGGAAACUGAUCACAUCCCCAAGUGGAGUAUCAAGUAACAGCUGAGCCAUCUCUUACCCCACCCGGUUUGUGAAACACACUCUUGUUAUACAGCCUAUGCCAGACACUUGUUUCUUUCUCAGGGAUAGUGGGCUUAAAAGAUGCCUGCCAAUCUCUCAUAUAAAUUAGUUUUUGUUGUUUGGUUUUUUUUUUCUGAAUUUGUCUUUUUUUUCCUUUAAUUUGCCACUGUAGAGCAUCAAACCUAGAGCCUUGUACAUGGCAGAUUUGUACUCUUAUUGAACUAAAUCCCUAGCCCAGAUCACUUAAAAAUUAAAUACCUAAAGCCAGGUAUUAUACAUCUGUAAUCCCAAGAAAGCUGAUGCAGGAAGACCACAAAUUUGAGGCCAGCCUGCACUAUGUUCCCAAAAUGCAGUGUACUGGUGCUGUAGCUCAGUAAUAAGCCAUAUGCUUAGCGUGUACAACAGCCUUAGUUUUCUCCCUAGCAACCAGUAAGUUAACAUUUGCAAACAUUUUUCUUAUCGUUUCUUACCUGCUACACUGCUAUUCCUCUGGCGGGCCAUCUUGACCUCUGGGCAUUCCCGGCGAACAUGUCCGGCAUCUCCACAUAUGAAACACCUAAGGUCUCGGGAGUCAAGAAGGUCUCGGGAGUCUUUUUCUUCUUCAUUUCCUUCUUUCUCUUCUUCACUGUCUUUCUUCUUUAGUCUAAACAGUAAACUGCUGAUACCAAUAAUGUGGAGCCAGGAACUUACAAACUGAUAAGUCACAGAAUAAACUAAACCAUAUAUAAUAAAAAACGGUCUAAUUACACAAUUCUAUGCUUUUCUCUAAGAAAGCUACUUCUAGAGCUGGAGAGAUGGCUCAGCAGUUAAGAGCACUAACUGCUCUUCCAGAGGUCCUGAGUUCAAAUCCCAGCAACCACAUGGUGGCUCACAACCAUCUGUAAUGAGACCUGAUGCCCUCUUCUGGUGUGUCUGAGGACAGUUACAGUGUACUUACAUAUAUAAAUUUAAAAAAAGGCUACUUCUAUUUAUAGUAUACCUAAGUCAUAUGACAAAACUUAAGUAUCAUAGCCUUUAAUGACAUUGUUUGCUUAUUUAAUUUUUGAGACAGGCUCUCACUAUACUGCUUGGUAUGUAGAAUCCACCAGCCUCAAGGUCAAAGAUCUUCCUACCUCUACCUUUCGAAUACUGGGAUUAAAGGGGUUUUCCACCAUUUUCAGCCACAUGAAAAAUUUUUACUAUCAAGUUUUAAACUUCUAAGACCUUUAGAAACUGAUACUUAUCACUACUUUAAAGAAGAGAGGUUUAGAGAAAAUAAGCACCUUGCCUAAAUUUAAUAACCACCAGUGACAGAAGAUAGAACUUAUUCUUUUUAAAAUCUUCCAAAUGCAUGAAUCACAUUCAUAUCUUUUCUUCCUUUAUUCCUCUUCUAUUUUUUCUUUUAGAUUCCUUGCUGUAGCUGCUCUUUUGAGACAGGAUUUUCCUAUUACAUAGGUCUAGAAUUCACAGGCUCUGCCUCCCAAGAGCUGGGAUUAAAGGUACGUGUGCCACCAUGUCCAGACCCACAGAUAUAUCUUGAGGUCGUGGAAAGGACAUGUAUUUCUCAAUUAACAUAAUAUACAGAUAUAGCCCUAUAUGUAACUCUAGAAUUCAAUUGAUUGUACUUAUGAACUUGUAUAACUACGAAGUCCUUUAGUUUCUUGCUCCUAGAAGUUCCAAACAUAUAGCAUGUUUUGAAAAACAUUUCUAUUUAAAAAAAAAUGAAUGAAUUAAUAAACAAAUGUUAUUACGAAUACAAAAUAAAUUCCUCUCAGAUGAGCAUUUAUUUACUAAAGAUCUAAUUAACAAACUUGAACAUUAAAAAAAUAACUUUCAUACUUAACACAUUUCUCAAUAAAAUUAUAAAUACAAGUCAGUCUCACAUUUACUUUGUCUAUAAUACUGAUAAAAAAUUAUUUGCUAACCUUUUCCUUUUGGGACAGUCUUUCAUAUAGUGACCUAUUUUUCCACACACACGACAACACCGAUCAUUAGGAGCCAAUUCUCCAUCUGUUAAUACUCUUGAAUCAAAGAAGUACUCCUGCAGGAAAAAUACAGUUUUACUAUUAAAAAAUGUAAAAUGUCCCAAAUGCAAAGAUCAAUAUGAAAAAAAAAGCCCCAACAUUAACAGUAUUUCACUAUAAUUGAAAUUAUGGAUAAAAAAGUAAAAUUUAGAACUAUGCCAAGUAGUGGUGGCACACAUCUUUACCCAGCACUUGGAAACCAAAUGCAGACAGAUCUCUAAAAGUUUGAGGCCAGACUGUCAACAGAGCAAGCUCUAGAAAAGCCAAAGACACACAGAAAAAAACUUGGCUUUAAACAAAUAUAACUGCUUAAUUUAAAAAAUUACAAUUAUUAUAACAUUUUAAGAGGUAACAGAACUAAUACUUUGUAUCCACCACAUUACAAUGCAGAGAAGCUUCAAGUGGAACCUCAAUAAAGUAAAUGUUAUUUUCGAUUAAAUUUACAGAAGAACUGCACCUCAGAGAUUCAGAUUCAAAUCAUUUGCACAUGGUAAUGAAAUUGGCUAAGUUUCUUAUGAAAGAUUUAAAGUUUUCUCUGUAAUGAUUACAAAGCUCAUGCUUUCUGUUAAAUCACACUAUUUCUACAUAAAAGUCCACGAGAGCCAGAACUCUGUUACACAGAAAAACCCUGUCUCACAAAAAAAAGAAAAAAAAAAAAAAAAGAUACCCAAUCCCAAAAAAACUCCACAAAACCAAAAGGAAUUGCUCUCCUUUCCAAAUGAUUUUAUGUAAAGAAAUUAAUUUUAAAAAUGUGUAUGGAUAUCUGAUCCUGGGUUUACAUGGACUGUGUACAUUCAGGAACCCAGGAGGUAAGAGGAAGGCAUCAGGUCUACUGAAGUUGGGAGUUACAUGUAAGUUGUCCAGGAACUGAAUUAUGAAGCGCUCCUAUUACAGGGCCAUCUCUUUAGCUUUGCAAAUAGCCUUUAAAGAAUAUGUAGCAGCAGUAGUAGUAGUAGUAGUAGUAGUAGUAGUAGUAGUAGUAGUAGUAGUAGUAGUAGUAGUAGUAGUAGUAAAAAACAUAUAUAUAUAUAAAUGGUUUCCAAGUCUCAGUACUAAGUUCAUUUACUUUUCCUAGCACUUGCUUAACUGUCUCAGUGCUUAGUUCUUCAGAAACACUGGUUUAUCCUAACAAUAGCAUAUUCCUGAAAGCCACGUGAACAAAUCUGCUACCUAUAAAAUCAUGUAAAACCUAGGAUAAAGGGAAGAGAUACCAAAAUAGAAUGGUAAUAAAAGAAUUAAAAAUAAAACAAUGGUUAGUGUACAAAAACUGAAAACCAUACAUAAAUCUGGUAUGACUGCAAAGCUAAGUUAAACACACAUACACACACAGGCACAUAUUCAAACAAACCAGUAAUUCUACUUCUUGGUGUAGUUUAAUGAAAACAUACUCAUGCAAAAAGAAUUACCCAUAUAUUCAUAAAAACAUUGCUCAUAACAACUACCGCACAAAAGCAACUCGAUUAAAUGACUAAUGAAUGGGUUUUAAUAUAGUACAUUUAUAUAAUGGAAACAUUAUUCAGCUAUAAGAAGAAAUAAAGUAUUGACACGUUACAACAUGUAUGAAACUUUAAAAUAUGUUUAAAGAAAGAAACCAGGGCUAAAACACUACAAAUUGUAUGAUUCUAACUGAACAAAAGGCAUAAAGUCUAGAAAAAGAAGUCUAAUGAAUUAAGAGUAAGAAAGAGGAGCUGUCUUGAACCUGUCCUAUACUCAGGAGUUUUUUCUUAACUUAAUAAGCCUCUACUUCCUCUUUUUAAAGAAGGAGAAGAGGAGGACGAGGAGGAUUCUGUAUAUCUAUGUGACUGAGGUGGGGGAGGAACAACUAGAAAGAUGACCCUGUAAUUAAGUACUGCUCUUACAGAGGACCAAAUUUCAAUCUCAAGCACCUAUAUGAAACAGCUCAUAACUGUCUGUAUCUACAGCUACAAGUGACUUAAUGUUUCUGUUCUCCAAGAGCAGAGAUACCCAAGUGAACAUACCCAGACAUCAAUGAGCAUGUAUCCAAAUAAUUAAAGCCCAAAACAAAAUCUUUUAAUAAAAAAAAACCUCAGAAAUAAAAACAAUGCAUUUUGUUGAUACAGUUGCUGAAUAUUCACAUUAACAAAAGGUUCUGAAUUAUACUUUAUCAGACUUCUACCUCAACAAAGCUGUUUAAGCUAGCAUGAACAUGGGAGCAGGCAGCCAAAUGGCAGGGAGAGAGCUAGAAAAUGAACAAAGAAGCCCAAAGCUUAAAGCAAACAUGCUUAGAAUGGGCACAGAAAUAAACUCAGUCGGAUUUCGGACACCACAUGACAGAGGCCCUUUAUGACUGACAUCCAAGUGCUGGGACUACAGUCAUGUACCACUAUGUAUAGUUACAAUUCUAUCUUCUACAAAACAACCAUGACAACAAAUAAUAAACAGAAAACAGCAAAAAGAAAAAAUUCUUUCUCAUUUGUCCAGUUGUUCAGGGCAGCAACAGGUAUCAUUUAGAAUCUGUUCUUUUGUUCUUCUUUAUCUAUAUUUCUAAUUAAUCACCAAGCAAUGGCCAUACUAUUACUGAAUGAUCUUCAUGUUUCUCAACCUCACCAUUAGUGACCUAUUUUUCAGAUUUAAAAAUUUCAGAAUACAAAUACUUUAAGACAUUUAGGUGAUAGGCAAACAUGAAAUGCAAUACAAGAGUUUACAUAAUGAAAAAGCAAAUAUUUGCAAAAACAUAUAUUUAAGAAUAUCAAAAUAUGUGAUUUGCUGAUUAAGAAGAAUGUAAUUUUUUGAGUGUAUAUGUAAAGUAGUUUACUUGAGGUUAAAAAGACAGUGUUUUCUAUCAAGAUGCAUGGCAAAAACUCAUCUGUAAUCCGUCUCUAACAAGAAGAAAAAAGGAAAAUAAAAUAAAGUAGGUCACCAACAAUUUGAGUGGGGCCUGUCUUUGGCUUGGACCUGAUUGCCUGCCUUUGGAGCCCUUUCCCCUAGCUGGGCACCCUUGUCUGACCUCAGUGGUAGAGGAGGAUGCACUUAGUCUUAUUGAGGCUUGAUGUGCCAGAGUGAGUUGGUAAGAGGCAGGGUGGGGUGGGGGGCUCCCUCCCCUUCACCACUAGAGGGAAAGAGGUACAGUGGGAGAAGGUGACUCAGAGGAUGGGAAUGGUAGUAGAAGAGGGAAGGAGGGAGGCUGUGAUUAGGAUGUAAAGUGAAUAAAUUAAUGGGGAAAAAAGAAAUAAAGUUAGGACAAAAUGCAGAACUUAGUGAAUUUUGAUUUAAACCAAAGUUAAAAUACUUACAAAAGCUUUAUUAUUUAUUUAUUUACUUAUUUACUCAUGUGAUUAUCAGCAUGUAUAUGUAUGUGUGCAUACCAUAUCUAUGCUUCCUGAUGCCCAUGGAGGCCAGAGCCCUAGAACUGUAGUUACAGACAGUUAUGAGCUGAUGUGGGUGCUGGGAACUGAACUCUGCUCGUCUACAGGAGCUACUAACCAUUGAAUCAUCUCUCCGACCCUUUAAAAUAACUUUUUCAGAAUGAAAGAUUACAAGUAAUAAGACUCAAAUUAUACUGAAAGUCCAGUUGAGGGUUGCAAGUAUUUAUUUAUAAAUGUAACAAACAUUAGAAACUGUCUGGGUUUAUGACUCUUUUCCCAUUAGUGUUAUUUAAACAGACAAAUGAUUCCUGGAAUAAUAAUAAGGUUGAACAUAUAUAGAUAUAAAAGGGCAGUAGGCAGUAUAUAAUAAAAAAAAAUAUGAAACAGAAGAUAGAAAAGGUCAAAUGGGAAAAGAAAAUGGAGACCUAAGACAACUGAUGGAUAAGGAGAAAGUAGAUUACUAUAUAUUGGAGAACCAAAUGGUAGAAAAAAAUAAAGUGGAAAUAAGAAAGAUAAAAGUAGAAUAUACUCUGUGUGUGUGUGUGUGUGUGUGUGUGUGUGUGUGUGUGUGUUGGCUUUGAAACAGGGUCUCACAAUAACAUCUAUGCUGGCCUCGAUUUCCCUGCAUCCACCUACCAAGAGCUGAAAUUAUAACUGUGAGCCACCAAAUAUUUAUCUUUCUGGACAUUUUACAAGUAUACAACAUGUUUAAUAGUACAAAAGAUAUUAAGUGUGAGCAUGAAAGUCAGUGAAUAGUUCCUGUUUAUUAUAAUACUGACAUAAUAAAGACAAAAUGUCCAAAAGAAAAUACAUAACAAUAACUUAUGAAAUACCAUAUAUUAAAACUUAAAAGAGAAUAAAAAGAUUUUAAAAAUGAUUAGCAAGCUCAUAGACUCCUCUUUCUAAGCAUCAAAAUAACAUUUUGUUUUCAUGCUAAAUAAAAAACAAAACUAAAGAUUUUUAUAUCUCCAUAUAACUAGGGACUAGUUACAAUGUAUUGAAUUAUAAAAGACUAGUAGAAUUUUUAUUCAUAAGAUGAAGGUAGCACAUUUCAAGUCUACUGAGGUCUCGUAUUAGUACUCUGCACUGUUGCCUUCCACUGUCACGUCCCUACUGAACAUGCACAUAGUCAGAAUUACCAUAAUUCCCAGACGUCACUAAAUGUGUAUGCUAUGUCAAUUAACGGAUUAGUGAAACUAUGUUUUUUCUACCUCAUUUCAUGUUUCAAAACUCUUGUGUUGUGACAUUUCCUAUUUAACUAUUAACUACUAAGGGGCUAACAAAUAAACAUAAAAGUGUCCAAGAGGAAAAACAUCCAACUUUUCUUGCUCUACCAUAAAAAUGAAGACUCCUAAGACUGGACUGAACAAGUUCCAGGGACAUUCAUAUGUAAAGACAAAUAAAUAGGUAUUCUCAAGAUCUUUUCUGUUCAAGUCUUUCCUGCUAAAACUGAAACCUCCUCUGUGGUCUCCCAAGCAAUAAAAAGCAAGCAAAAGCUGAGGGAGCCCAAACAGCAGUGUGAAAACUGCAUCUGGAGUCGGAGGAGGGACAGCUCAGCCUCUGCAGUCUAAUCCAGUACACUACAGCUACAGCAGAUGGUAGGCAGAAGUCAUGGUAAGGUAAUACUUCAGAUUUCUCUUUUCUAUGAAUUUGAGAAUGGGAAAAUCUGCAUCAAAGGUUUUCCUCCCUUUCACUCUGCCAUCUGUAAAAAAAAACGCAAUGACAAUGAAGCUCUAUAAGCAAAAGAGAAUUAAAUUUUCAAAUAAUGAAAACUUACAGCUUCUCUGCCAAUGAGUGGAUAAAAGGGGGUACCAAAAAGUUUCCUUCCAUUGAUAAAUGCCUUCAUAAUAAAAUUGGUCACUGUUGAAGAAAGAAGAUAAUAAAAGAUUUAGACACUACUUACCAAAUAUUUUAAUGCAUAUAUUCUCUACAUUUAAAACUUACUUUUUCUAGAAACACCAGCACCAAGGUUAUGAUUCAAGUCAAAAGGAUCUAGAAAAUAAAUAUUUGUAAAUUAAUAUUUGUUAAGUAUUAUACCAUUAAGUGGACUAUACCUGAACAGGAGUCUAAUGCUAUAUAUUCUCAAACUAACCAAGUCAGUGAAUUAGACUUUUAAAAUUAUUGAGUGACAGAAAACAAGAGGUAGACUCUUUUCACCUUCAAUUGCAAUGCAUUUAGAAGUCCACUGCUUUUCAAAAGUAGUGAGCAGCUUUUUCUGCCGAAUACUGAUUACAUAUUCCUUGAAAUCAAACUCUUCAGUAUAGAAGCGAAGUAGUCCUAACCAAAGCUCUCCUAGUGAUUCCGUGUUCUUUCCAAGUGAAGGUAAACGCUUUUUCUUCAGUUAACGAAAUGGGAAGGAAAGGAGAAAUAUGGGAAGAGGAGGAUAAGGAAAAAAAGAGAGAAGAAUAUAUGGUAUUAAAAUAUAAAAAAAAAUAAAAACAAGUAAAAUUAUUAAAGUAUAUAAGUCCUAAUAUCAUUGAGCAUUCUAUAAUAUAGUAAUUAUACAAAAAUUACCAGUUCUUCUGUUUUAUCAAAGAAAAAGGCAUUCCAUCCAUCCACCAUUCUCUGUGGAAUCUGCUUUCCAUCAAAGAUCUGCAUAAAAAAUUUUAUUAUUAGAUUUCAAGUUAUCCAACCUGAAGACCUACAAGACUUCUGAUCAUUUUAGAAUUAAUCUACAAAAAACACUAACGAAUUACUUUCCAAGGAAAAACAUUAGAAUGUUAUAGCUUGGUGCUAAGUAAGUGACUAAUGAAAUAUUACUGAGAAUAAUAUAAGCUGAGAGUCUCUAUACACAUUCAGUAUUAUUUAAUGCUGUUUGGCCUAACAAAAUGUAUUUGUAUGCAUAUGUAUGACUAUCUGCAGCCCAAGAUUAAGUAAAAUAAAAGUAAAAAAAAGUUUCAUUAAAGGAUUAUAAAUAGAGGCAUACAAAAGAUAAUAUUGAUUUUAUACUCAAAGAAAAUUGGUAUCACUUACUAAUAUAAGGCUGAAAAGUGCUUAAAUAUCAGGUAUGUUUAAUGGGAAAUUAGAUAGCUUUCCCUGACAUCUUUAUAAGCAAAUCAGGAAUCCUUCUCAUUAGGUUGCGUAUUCUGGCCUCCACCUUGAAAUCCUCCUGCCUCGGACUCCAGAGCAUCAGAUAAUAGACAUGUGUCACUAUGUCUGACUAAGAAAUACUAUUUUAUGAAAAAUAAAUCAUCCAAUAUAAAAUGGUUGUUUUAGAUACAACUGACUUCCUUCCAUAAGUAAUUUUAUCAUUUGCUUUCCUUUUUAUGAGACAAGUAGCCCAGGCUGGCCACAUAUUUGUUAUGUAGCCAAGGAUAACAAUGAAUUCUUUAUCUUGCCCCUAGGCAUAUAACACAAUGGCCAGGUUACAAUAUUAGGAAUCAAACCCAGGGGUUUGGGGAUUUAGCUCAGUGGUAGAGCAUUUGCCUAGCAAGCUCAAGGCCCUGGGUUCAGUCCUCAGCUCUGGGGGAAAAAAAAAAAAAGAGAAAGGAAUCAAACCCAGAUCUUUAUGCAAACUAGACAAGCAUGCUACCAACUGAGCCAUACACCCAGCCCUUGUGACUUGCUUUUCUAAAAUAAAUAUAAAAUGAUAAAAUGACCCAACAAAGUAGAAAGGUAUAUAGUAUUGCUUCAGAAUCAACAAAACUAAUUUUUAUUCUCAGACCUAUACAUAAAUUCUGGUCAAGAUAAUUAUCCCUAUAAGUCUCCAUAAAGUUAACCAAGUAAAAAUAAAAUUUUAACCACACAAGUAGUUUAUACACUGACUUUUUAAAACAGUACUUAUUUUAUACUUACUAAUAUAGAUAAGUGUGUGUACAAGUAAGUGCAGAAGGAUGCUGGGAAUUGAAUUUGGGUCCAUUACAAAAGCAGUAAGCACUCUUAAACUGCUUAAGCCAUCUCUAGAGUCCCCAAAUUUAUUUUUUUAAAAAAGAGGUUUAUUGAUUUUUAAUUUAUGAGUGUGUGUUACUUGCAUGUAUCUGUGUACCACAUGUGUGCCCAGUACCUGUGGGGACCCAGAAGGUGUCUGAUCCCCUGGAACUCAAGUUACAGAUGGUUGUUAGGUGUCAUGUGAUUGUUGGAAACUGAACCCAGGUCCUAUGGAAAAGCAAUCAGAGCUUUUAACCACUGAGCUAUAUUUCCACCCCCUAAAAAUUAUUUUGAAAAAAUAAUCACAUUCACUUAUUGUACAUAUAUGUGCACACCACUCAAGAGCGUGUGCCAUGACACAUAUCAUACAUGUGGUCAGAAGACAGCUUACUCCUAGGAGUUGGUUUUCUUCUUCCACCUUUGGAGUCCCAGAAAUGGAACUCAGGUCACCAUGUUUAGGGACGAGGCCUUUACCUGCUGAGCCAUCUUGUUGGCUUCCCUAAAAUGUAGCUUUUGUGAAAAAUCAAAUGUGAAGCAAAUAAAAAACAAAUUAUUAAUUUUAAUAUUUAUUAGUGUUUAUAUUCAUAUAUAUUAUGAUUUUUAAACACUGGAUCUGCCUAUGUAGGUUUCAAUGACCUAGAACUCACUACUUAUGUACUAUGUAGACUCACUAUGAAGACCAGGCUGAACUUAAACUUAGAGCUCCCUGCCUUUGCUUUUUACUGCUAGAAUUAAAGGUUUGUGUUCCCACCCCUGCCUCUAACCCAGGUACAUAAAUGUUUUAAACAUAACACAGCUUUUCUUUGUCUUUACCUCUCCAAACAUACAUAAAAUAAAACUGAAGAAUGUUUCAAAUCACUUGAUAAGUUAAUCCAUGGAGCCCUUAUCAAAGGGCAAGUGGUUUACACACCUGUAUGUCUCGCAUCUCAAAUUUCAUUUUUAGGUUUAAAUUUCUUGUGGUUAAAAGAGCCCAUACCCUAAAUGUGAAGCAGAAAACCUCACUAAGCCAAAGCUUACACAGACUGUGGACCGAAUACAAUCUGUAUGUUAAAGAUCAAGUUUGCAACGACUAAACUAAUUAAGUAUCCUGGGAAUACCUAUAUAUAAAGAAAUACAGUCACCUAAAAUGGCUCAGUGUACAGUCUGGUAUUUUCUAAAACAGAAACAGCAAAGACGUGGAGAGAUGGCUCCGUUGGUGACGCACUGGCCUCAGAGCCCACAUAAAAAGCUGGGAAUAAUGGUAUGCUCCUGUAAUCCUAGUGACAGCAGAACAGGAGGCAGGCAAGACAGGGAUUCUAGAACUGGGGUUGUAAACCAGUGGUAGAGUAUUAGCCUAAUAUGGUCAAGGCCUGGGUUUAUGCUCUCAAAAAACUAAAGAUUUAAGAGGUUGAAGUAUUAAUUUUAUUAUGUAAGAUUUAGAUGUUUAGAUGUUAGGGACAGGGAUAUAGUAUUGUGGUUGGUGCUGCUUGCUUAACAUGUAUAAGACCCAAUUUCAAUCCCUAAUACCAAAAAAAAAAAAAAAAAAAAAAAAAGAAACAUAUUUGUACAAGAAACUUGAAAUUAUUCCCAUGUCUACUGUCUACUUUGUUGUUAUAAUUGUUAUGGUCUACUCAUAUACCAUAACACCUUUUCUUAAUUGUGUUAAAGCAAAAUUUACUAUCUUAAAUAUUUGAUUCACUGGUAUCAAGUACAUUCACAGUGCUGAGCUGCCAUCACCAGCCCUUUAGUACUUUUUCUUUUUCUUGUAAAACUACAACCCUGUGUGUGUUAAAUUGUUAUUUUCCAUACAUCCCUUCCCCUGCCAGUGAACACUACCAUCCACCAUUCUUUUUGUGUAUCUAUGGAUUUGAUUGUUCUAAGUACCUAACUGGAAUCAAAUACUAUGUCUCUUUAGUAACUGGCUUAUCUCAUUUGGUAUAAUGUCCUCAAGGUUCUUUGAUUAAAUUUAAUUUUCCAGUUGAUACAGUUUAAGAAAGCAUAAAUUUUUAUGUAAUCAACUAAGAACAACACUCCUAAAUCUCUUUUACUGUUAAUUUUUGUGUAAAGAAUUUUCUUGGUCUUAUGAUUUGCUGGAGCAGAAAAAAAAACUCUGCUUAAGAAAGUUCCUUUUGACCCAAAUGUAUUAUUGAUCAACACCAAAAAACCCUCCACGGGUUAGGAACUCAAUUUGGUGGGAGAGCCCUAGCCUAAAUGUUCAGUUCCCAAUAUGACAAAAACAAAACAAUGCUCCAAAAGCCAGAACAUACUGUGGAGUUAUACCUGAAACCCCAACUACUCAGGAGAUAGCUGAAGAAUAACGACAGGCCAUUCUGAGCAAUUUACCAAGGUUGUCAUAAAAUAUAAUCUGUAACAUAAAAAUUAUAAAUUUAUAAAAUAUCUAACAUUAUACAGGAACUUGAGAAAUAGCUCGCUGGUAUAGUACUUGUUUAGCAUGAAAAAGGCCUAGGGAUCAAUACACAGUACCACAAAGCAAAACCUUAACUAAACUUGAAUAACCAGCUAUUAAAAGUUAGAUUUAAUUGCAAAUGAAGCCAGAGAUAAUUAAUGCUAAUAAAUAAAUCAUUAA